UAGGGAAUAUUGCAAAAUGGGCGAAAGCCCGAUGCAGCAACGCCGCGUGGGCGAUGAAGGCCUUCGGGUCGUAAAGCCCUUUUUGAGGGGAUGAGGAAGGACAGUACCCUCAGAAUAAGCCUCGGCUAACUACGUGCCAGCAGCCGCGGUAAAACGUAGGAGGCGAGCGUUAUCCGGAUUUACUGGGCGUAAAGCGCGUGCAGGCGGGAUAAAAAGUCAGUGGUGAAAUCCUACAGCUUAACUGUAGAACUGCCUUUGAUACUUUUAUUCUUGAGUUCGGGAGAGAGAGACGGAAUUCCAGGUGUAGUGGUGAAAUACGUAGAUAUCUGGAAGAACACCAGUUGCGAAGGCGGUCUCUUGGUCCGACACUGACGCUGAGGCGCGAAAGCGUGGGGAGCAAACA
rnacentral:rRNA from 1 species